rnacentral:rRNA from 1 species
GAUCAUGGCUCAGGAUGAACGCUAGCUACAGGCUUGACACAUGCAAGUCGAGGGGCAGCAUGGUCUUAGCUUGCUAAGACUGAUGGCGACCGGCGCACGGGUGAGUAACACGUAUCCAACCUGCCGUCUACUCUUGGACAGCCUUCUGAAAGGAAGAUUAAUACAAGAUGGCAUCAUGAGUCCGCAUGUUCACAUGAUUAAAGGUAUUCCGGUAGACGAG